GACGAACGCUGGCGGCGUGCCUAAUACAUGCAAGUCGAGCGAACAGAAAAGGAGCUUGCUCCUUUGACGUUAGCGGCGGACGGGUGAGUAACACGUGGGCAACCUACCCUAUAGUUUGGGAUAACUCCGGGAAACCGGGGCUAAUACCGAAUAAUCUCUUUUGCUUCAUGGUGAAAGACUGAAAGACGGUUUCGGCUGUCGCUAUAGGAUGGGCCCGCGGCGCAUUAGCUAGUUGGUGAGGUAACGGCUCACCAAGGCGACGAUGCGUAGCCGACCUGAGAGGGUGAUCGGCCACACUGGGACUGAGACACGGCCCAGACUCCUACGGGAGGCAGCAGUAGGGAAUCUUCCACAAUGGGCGAAAGCCUGAUGGAGCAACGCCGCGUGAGUGAAGAAGGUUUUCGGAUCGUAAAACUCUGUUGUAAGGGAAGAACAAGUACAGUAGUAACUGGCUGUACCUUGACGGUACCUUAUUAGAAAGCCACGGCUAACUACGUGCCAGCCGCCGCGGUAA
rnacentral:rRNA from 1 species